GGCCCAUUAGCUCAACUGGCAGAGCAGCUGACUCUUAAUCAGCGUGUUCCGCGUUCGAGUCGCGGAUGGGUCA
rnacentral:tRNA from 1 species